AAUGAAAGUGUAAGCAUUCCACCUCAAGAGUAAUGUGGCAACGCAGGAACUGAAAUCAUUAGACCGUUUCUGAAACCAGUAGUGAAGUAUGUUAUUUAAUUCGAUAACCCUCGAAAAACCUUACCACAAUUUGAAUACUUCGACCUUUGGUCGUUGUACAAGUGUUGCACGGCUGUCUUCAGUUAAUGUCGUGAGAUUCUGGUUAGAUCCAUUAAAUUAACGUAAACCCUUACUUUAUUUGUUUUUUA
rnacentral:rRNA from 1 species